rnacentral:rRNA from 1 species
CAGCAGCCGCGGUAAUACGUAGGUCCCGAGCGUUGUCCGGAUUUAUUGGGCGUAAAGCGAGCGCAGGCGGUUAGAUAAGUCUGAAGUUAAAGGCUGUGGCUUAACCAUAGUACGCUUUGGAAACUGUUUAACUUGAGUGCAAGAGGGGAGAGUGGAAUUCCAUGUGUAGCGGUGAAAUGCGUAGAUAUAUGGAGGAACACCGGUACCGAAAGCGGCUCUCUGGCUUGUAACUGACGCUGAGGCUCGAAAGCGUGGGGAGCAAACAGGAUUAGAUACCCUGGUAGUCCACGCCGUAAACGAUGAGUGCUAGGUGUUAGACCCUUUCCGGGGUUUAGUGCCGCAGCUAACGCAUUAAGCACUCCGCCUGGGGAGUACGACCGCAAGGUUGAAACUCAAAGAAAUUGACGG